UUAGGUUGGAGCAAAAGUAAUUGCGGUUUUUGCCAUUGAAAGUAAUGGCAAAAACCACAAUUACUUUUGUGCCCACCUAAUA
rnacentral:miRNA from 1 species